UUAGAACUGAAGAAGCUUCUCGGAUGAGAGGUGAAACGUCUUCAAGUAACUUAAAGAAGUCCAGACGCUUUUCUUUGCAAGCUCCUUUGACUAUAAAGCCAUAUUUUAUUUUCUAUAUGGAUGUGCUAUUAUCCGUUAGUCUGUGCACUUGGACCUGGACUCUUCUUGGUCAUCAUCAUUAGGCAGAUAGUGGAGAUGAAGACACGUACCGUUUCCCGUCAGGUACCACUCGAAAAACUGAGCAAAGCUCUGAGGGGUCUCAAGGUCUGCAAAGCUGUUGCUGAAGUGAUAUCCUGGAGGCAUGAGAACCUGGGAGAGAUGUGAUGUGAAGAGCCGUGGAGAGGGGCGACGAGUGUAUGAACCCCAUCUGUACUCCAGCCAUGGCAUCUUCUGUGAG